CACUUGACAGAGGCUGGUGAGGCCAGGGUGUUUUGCUGGUACUGGGGAGACAUCUGCAAAGCAACUUUCUUCAAGAGCCUCAUUCUCCCCAGCCAGUGCUGUCAGUUCUCAGGACCUGUCUGCUUGCUCCAAGCUUUCAGCAAGAUUGCGGGAAUGACUCUGUCUGUGUAUCCGUGUAACUAUUUUGUUAAUUCUUGAGGUGGAGCUGCUACUGUGUGUGAUAUGCUGGCUUGAUAAACUUUUUGGACUGAAGUGGAAGAAACUGUUAUUUGCAGAA